CUCUACCUCUGUUUGUGAGCGAUCAGCCUUAAAGCUGUACAUCCUGGUUGAGUGAACUGAAGUCUUUGCAUAGAGGAGUCGCCUGGAUAAUUUAGCUCGCAGUGCAGCAUGUGACCAGGAGUCUAUAUGCUUAAUUGUUUUUGUGCUAGUUUUCCAUUCACAGUGCUGAUGCUUCAGAGAGCAUCAUCGGGUACGCGCAGCAUCCGGAGGACCGACCGUGCGCGUCCACGAGAGAGAGAGGAGAGUGAAAGGAGGAGGAGGAGGGGGGAGAGAGACAGGGUGCUGAAAAUGAUGGCGACCGAUGCAGAGGAGAUAAGAACCCAAACAAGCCCCUGCCCCAUCCCCGACAACAGUCUCAGCACCCUGUCCAUCAAAAUCACGCGGAAAAAUCAGGACAGACACUGGAAGUUGCGGUUUAUUUACCUGCAGUGCUAUUUCUUGACAAUUGCAACAAUACUGGGAACUGGAAUCUUAGGUCUUCCAGUGACAAUAGCCCACGCUGGACUGGUGCCUUUCCUUGUCUCGUUUCUUGUUGGCUUCUUUGUUCAGGCCUUGCUUAUCUACCUGUUUGUCGAACUUCUUCAGAAAUGUCAGGUGGUGCAGCUGGAAUCUCUGAAGACAGGUGUUGCAGAGUGUAUUGUCAUGGAUCAGGUGGGUGUGGAGGCUCCAUCACCCACAGAGGAAGAGGACGAGGAUGAUUCGAGUGAAAAUGCAGAAGCAGACACAGGUCUACUUCAGCCUGAUGCAGUAUCUUUGCACAACCAAGCAGAGAACCUGGAGCCCAACCUUCAUCUGCUCGGCCACCUCUUCCUCUCCCGGCCAAUGAGUCAUGCCUUCAACUGCAUCCUCCUCUUCCAGUUCCACAUCUACGUCAUCCCGGUGUUCACCUGGAUCCUAACUCUUGCCAUCUUACUGGCCCACACAGUCAUCCAGCCAGUCACGUCGCUGCUCACCCUGCUGAAAGGGAUCCUGCUCAUUGUCACGGUGGCUGUGACAUUCGCGGUGGGGUCAGAGGUCGGCCUUCAAAGCAGCAGUGACUUCAGGCAGAUGGGGAAACCUUUCCUAAUGGGCACGGUGGCUCUGGGAGGGAUCGUAAACGUGAUGCCUCUGCUCUUCUCACAGAUCUCACACAACAAAACACAGAUCCUUUGGUUUCGGAGAGCAGUGCUCGGAGGUCUGACAACCUGUACUGUGCUCAACAUCCUCUGGUGCUGGGCGGUGCUGGAAAUCGUCCCCCAGACGUCGUUAUCAGAAAGGCGGACGCCGGCUGAGACGAUGACCCAUCCCGACUCCAGCAUCCCGCCUGGUCCUCCUUCGUCCGUCUCUCCUCUGCUGUACUCCAACAUCUCACUGGAAGAGUCUGAGAAAGCGGGAGAGAUUGCAACUAUUCCACUGACGAAGAUUAUUAAUGAACGUUACAGGGCGUACUCCUGGGUGGCUGAGCUGAUCCAGGUCUUCAUCGCCAUCAGUGUCAGCGUCUCCUUCCUGGUGAUGGGAUCUGCCAUGAAACACACCAUCGACGGCCUGGUGACGGCGCUGUGGAGCAGCAGGCUGGAGUGGCUGUCCAAAGCCUGGGAGAGAAACCUGCCAAACAAACAGCACAUCUGCUCUGCGAGGAGCUUGGCCAAAGGAUUCAUGUCGCUGCUUGGAUUUACUAUCAUUUUUAUCGUAUCAAUGUGUGAUCCCAGGGGUUUUAUCGUCAUGUUGGACAAAGUCGUGUCGUUCUCGCUCAACACUGAAGUCGGCCUGUUUGUCUUCAUCAUGCUGAGAGAAGCCAGAGAGGACAGAUUCCAGCACCUGGCCGUCCCGCUGCCGGUCGGCGACUGCGUCUUCAGCCUCAGCUGGCUGCUGCCCUGCUACUUCCUGUUUGCGGUCACCUACGACGUGCUGCAGACGCUGGCGGACGUGGCUCACUACCUGCACCUGUACAGCCACGGCCUGGAAGCACACGUCCACAACCUGACCGAGAACUUCACGGCAGCCAAUCUGUCCGUCCUGCUCUGA
ensembl:lncRNA